GAGUUUGAUCAUGGCUCAGAUUGAACGCUGGCGGCAGGCCUAACACAUGCAAGUCGAGCGGUAACAGGACUAGCUUGCUAGUUGCUGACGAGCGGCGGACGGGUGCGUAACACGUAGGAAUCUGCCCGGUAGUGGGGGAUAGCCCGGAGAAAUCCGGAUUAAUACCGCAUACGCCCUAAGGGGGGAAAGAUGGCCUCUUCUCGAAAGCUAUCACUAUCGGAUGAGCCUGCGUCGGAUUAGCUAGUUGGUGAGGUAAAGGCUCACCAAGGCGACGAUCCGUAGCUGGUCUGAGAGGAUGAUCAGCCACACUGGGACUGAGACACGGCCCAGACUCCUACGGGAGGCAGCAGUGGGGAAUAUUGCACAAUGGCGCAAGCCUGAUGCAGCCAUGCCGCGUGUGUGAGAAGGC
rnacentral:rRNA from 1 species